AUAGAGGUAGUCUACACCAGACAUCUGACUUCGACUCAGAAAACCUUAUUAACCUAAGCCUCUAAA
rnacentral:tRNA from 1 species